rnacentral:lncRNA from 1 species
CCAAAAUUAAACUUUGUUUGAUUUCAACAAAAAUUGAAAAUAUGGGUUUUUUCAAUAUGCUGAAUCUAACCAUGUAUUUAGAUUUUUAAUAUUUUGGCCCUGUUAUCAAAUUGGUCCACAUUGAGGUCUAAAGGGUCUAAAAUUUAACAUUAUUUGAUUUCAUCAAAAAUUGAAUUCUUGGGGUUCUAUGCUAUGCUUGAAUCUAACCAUGUAUUUAGAUUUUGGAUAUUGGACCAUAAUAGGUAAAUGUCCAAUUUAAAGUUUUCAAGUUUAAGUUCUUAGAACACAUUCAUUCUGUGUCAGAAACCUAUGUUGUGUCAACUAUUUAAUCACAAUCCAAAGUCAGAGCUGUAUCAAGUUUAAAUGUUGUGUCCAUACUUGCCCCAACUGUUCAGGGUUCGACCUUUGCGGUCGUAAAAAGCUGCGCCCUGUGGAGCAUCUGGUUGUAUUUAGAUUUGGGAAUUACUUAUAAUAUAUCAAUGGUAUUUGGUAUGCAGUUGUAUUAGCAUUGGCACAUCUCAUUUACAUUGAGAUUGUUUAAUCAUGUAACUCAGUCCUGGUUUAUUGACUUUGAAAUUUUUCUCAUUUCAGAUUUUAGAAAUUAAAAAGAAAAUUUCUUCAUUAAUUCUUUUUGAGGGGAUUAAUAUCCAACAGCAUAGUGUAUUGCGUCAGAAAUCUAUGCUGUGUCAACUAUUUAAUCACAAUCCAAAUUUAGAACUGUAUCAAGCUUGAAUAUUGUGUCCAUACUUGCCCCA